AACAGAGUUUGAUCCUGGCUCAGAUUGAACGCUGGCGGCAGGCCUAACACAUGCAAGUCGAGCGGUAGCACAGAGAGCUUGCUCUCGGGUGACGAGCGGCGGACGGGUGAGUAAUGUCUGGGAAACUGCCUGAUGGAGGGGGAUAACUACUGGAAACGGUAGCUAAUACCGCAUAACGUCGCAAGACCAAAGUGGGGGACCUUCGGGCCUCAUGCCAUCAGAUGUGCCCAGAUGGGAUUAGCUGGUAGGUGGGGUAACGGCUCACCUAGGCGACGAUCCCUAGCUGGUCUGAGAGGAUGACCAGCCACACUGGAACUGAGACACGGUCCAGACUCCUACGGGAGGCAGCAGUGGGGAAUAUUGCACAAUGGGCGCAAGCCUGAUGCAGCCAUGCCGCGUGUGUGAAGAAGGCCUUCGGGUUGUAAAGCACUUUCAGCGGGGAGGAAGGCGGUGAGGUUAAUAACCUCACCGAUUGACGUUACCCGCAGAAGAAGCACCGGCUAACUCCGUGCCAGCAGCCGCGGUAAUACGGAGGGUGCAAGCGUUAAUCGGAAUUACUGGGCGUAAAGCGCACGCAGGCGGUCUGUCAAGUCGGAUGUGAAAUCCCCGGGCUCAACCUGGGAACUGCAUUCGAAACUGGCAGGCUAGAGUCUUGUAGAGGGGGGUAGAAUUCCAGGUGUAGCGGUGAAAUGCGUAGAGAUCUGGAGGAAUACCGGUGGCGAAGGCGGCCCCCUGGACAAAGACUGACGCUCAGGUGCGAAAGCGUGGGGAGCAAACAGGAUUAGAUACCCUGGUAGUCCACGCUGUAAACGAUGUCGAUUUGGAGGUUGUGCCCUUGAGGCGUGGCUUCCGGAGCUAACGCGUUAAAUCGACCGCCUGGGGAGUACGGCCGCAAGGUUAAAACUCAAAUGAAUUGACGGGGGCCCGCACAAGCGGUGGAGCAUGUGGUUUAAUUCGAUGCAACGCGAAGAACCUUACCUGGUCUUGACAUCCACAGAACUUUCCAGAGAUGGAUUGGUGCCUUCGGGAACUGUGAGACAGGUGCUGCAUGGCUGUCGUCAGCUCGUGUUGUGAAAUGUUGGGUUAAGUCCCGCAACGAGCGCAACCCUUAUCCUUUGUUGCCAGCGGUUAGGCCGGGAACUCAAAGGAGACUGCCAGUGAUAAACUGGAGGAAGGUGGGGAUGACGUCAAGUCAUCAUGGCCCUUACGACCAGGGCUACACACGUGCUACAAUGGCAUAUACAAAGAGAAGCGACCUCGCGAGAGCAAGCGGACCUCAUAAAGUAUGUCGUAGUCCGGAUUGGAGUCUGCAACUCGACUCCAUGAAGUCGGAAUCGCUAGUAAUCGUAGAUCAGAAUGCUACGGUGAAUACGUUCCCGGGCCUUGUACACACCGCCCGUCACACCAUGGGAGUGGGUUGCCAAAGAAGUAGGUAGCUUAACCUUCGG
rnacentral:rRNA from 1 species